UUGGCGCUGAGGUUCAGCGUAAGCCA
rnacentral:misc_RNA from 1 species